UAUUCUGCCCUACGGGGAAGGAUGAGAAGCUUCGACUAAGGUUCGACUCGAGCGUAGCGAGAGAACGUUGCCGAAGGCAACGGCCCGAAGGGCGAGGCGCUUUAGCGCCGAGUAAUCCUUCCCCCACCACCA
rnacentral:sRNA from 2 species